rnacentral:rRNA from 1 species
GGGUGGCGACCGGCAAACGGGUGCGGAACACGUACGCAACCUUCCUUCAAGCGGGGAAUAGCCCAGAGAAAUUUGGAUUAAUACCCCAUAGGAAUGUAGUCUCGCAUGAGACAGCAUUUAAAGAUUUAUCACUUGAAGAUGGGCGUGCGUCUGAUUAGGUAGUUGGUGAGGUAACGGCUCACCAAGCCGACGAUCAGUAACUGGCGUGAGAGCGCGACCAGUCACACGGGCACUGAGACACGGGCCCGACUCCUACGGGAGGCAGCAGUAAGGAAUAUUGGUCAAUGGACGCAAGUCUGAACCAGCCAUGCCGCGUGGAGGAUGAAUGCCCUCUGGGUUGUAAACUUCUUUUAUCUGGGACGAAACACUUCUUAUCCAAGGAGCUUGACGGUACCAGAUGAAUAAGCACCGGCUAACUCCGUGCCAGCAGCCGCGGUAAUACGGAGGGUGCAAGCGUUAUCCGGAUUCACUGGGUUUAAAGGGUGCGUAGGCGGAUAUGUAAGUCUGUGGUGAAAUCUCUGAGCUUAACUCAGAAACUGCCGUGGAUACUAUAUGUCUUGAAUGUUGUGGAGGUUAGCGGAAUAUGUCAUGUAGCAGUGAAAUGCUUAGAUAUGACAUAGAACACCGAUUGCGAAGGCAGCUGGCUACACAACUAUUGACGCUGAGGCACGAAAGCGUGGGGAUCAAACAGGAUUAGAUACCCUGGUAGUCCACGCCCUAAACGAUGGAUACUCGACAUUUGCGAUAUAUUGUAAGUGUCUG